rnacentral:rRNA from 1 species
CAGGAUGAACGCUAGCGGCAGGCUUAACACAUGCAAGUCGAGGGGCAUCGGGAGUAGCAAUACUUGCCGGCGACCGGCGCAAGGGUGCGUAACGCGUGAGCAACAUGCCCGUAUCAGGGGGAUAAUCCAUGGAAACGUGGUCUAAUACCCCAUAGUAAUUAUGUAAGGCAUCUUAUAUAAUUUAAAGCUUUGGUGGAUACGGAUUGGCUCGCGUGACAUUAGCUAGAUGGUAAGGUAACGGCUUACCAUGGCUACGAUGUCUAGGGGUUCUGAGAGGAAGGCCCCCCACACUGGAACUGAGACACGGUCCAGACUCCUACGGGAGGCAGCAGUGAGGAAUAUUGGACAAUGGAUGGAAAUCUGAUCCAGCCAUGCCGCGUGCCAGGAAGACGGCCCUAUGGGUUGUAAACUGCUUUUGUAUGGGAGCAAUAAGGGCUACGCGUAGUCCGAUGAGAGUACCAUACGAAUAAGCACCGGCUAACUCCGUGCCAGCAGCCGC